rnacentral:rRNA from 1 species
UACGAAGGGGGCUAGCGUUGCUCGGAAUCACUGGGCGGAAAGGGUGCGUAGGCGGAUCUUUAAGUCAGGGGUGAAAUCCUGGAGCUCAACUCCAGAACUGCCUUUGAUACUGAGGAUCUCGAGUUCGGGAGAGGUGAGUGGAACUGCGAGUGUAGAGGUGAAAUUCGUAGAUAUUCGCAAGAACACCAGUGGCGAAGGCGGCUCACUGGCCCGAUACUGACGCUGAGGCACGAAAGCGUGGGGAGCAAACAGG